GGGUUGUGAGGUUAAGCGACUAAGCGUACACGGUGGAUGCCCUGGCAGUCAGAGGCGAUGAAGGACGUGCUAAUCUGCGAUAAGCGUCGGUAAGGUGAUAUGAACCGUUAUAACCGGCGAUUUCCGAAUGGGGAAACCCAGUGUGUUUCGACACACUAUCAUUAACUGAAUCCAUAGGUUAAUGAGGCGAACCGGGGGAACUGAAACAUCUAAGUACCCCGAGGAAAAGAAAUCAACCGAGAUUCCCCCAGUAGCGGCGAGCGAACGGGGAGCAGCCCAGAGCCUGAAUCAGUGUGUGUGUUAGUGGAAGCGUCUGGAAAGGCGCGCGAUACAGGGUGACAGCCCCGUACACAAAAAUGCACAUGCUGUGAGCUCGAUGAGUAGGGCGGGACACGUGGUAUCCUGUCUGAAUAUGGGGGGACCAUCCUCCAAGGCUAAAUACUCCUGACUGACCGAUAGUGAACCAGUACCGUGAGGGAAAGGCGAAAAGAACCCCGGCGAGGGGAGUGAAAAAGAACCUGAAACCGUGUACGUACAAGCAGUGGGAGCACGCUUAGGCGUGUGACUGCGUACCUUUUGUAUAAUGGGUCAGCGACUUAUAUUCUGUAGCAAGGUUAACCGAAUAGGGGAGCCGAAGGGAAACCGAGUCUUAACUGGGCGUUAAGUUGCAGGGUAUAGACCCGAAACCCGGUGAUCUAGCCAUGGGCAGGUUGAAGGUUGGGUAACACUAACUGGAGGACCGAACCGACUAAUGUUGAAAAAUUAGCGGAUGACUUGUGGCUGGGGGUGAAAGGCCAAUCAAACCGGGAGAUAGCUGGUUCUCCCCGAAAGCUAUUUAGGUAGCGCCUCGUGAAUUCAUCUCCGGGGGUAGAGCACUGUUUCGGCAAGGGGGUCAUCCCGACUUACCAACCCGAUGCAAACUGCGAAUACCGGAGAAUGUUAUCACGGGAGACACACGGCGGGUGCUAACGUCCGUCGUGAAGAGGGAAACAACCCAGACCGCCAGCUAAGGUCCCAAAGUCAUGGUUAAGUGGGAAACGAUGUGGGAAGGCCCAGACAGCCAGGAUGUUGGCUUAGAAGCAGCCAUCAUUUAAAGAAAGCGUAAUAGCUCACUGGUCGAGUCGGCCUGCGCGGAAGAUGUAACGGGGCUAAACCAUGCACCGAAGCUGCGGCAGCGACGCUUAUGCGUUGUUGGGUA
rnacentral:rRNA from 1 species